AGAGUUUGAUCCUGGCUCAGAUUGAACGCUGGCGGCAUGCUUUACACAUGCAAGUCGGACGGCAGCACGGGGGCAACCCUGGUGGCGAGUGGCGAACGGGUGAGUAAUGCAUCGGGACCGUAUCCUUGGAGUGGGGGAUAACGCAGCGAAAGUUCGUGCUAAUACCGCAUAAGCUACUGAGGAGGAAANCGGGGGGACCCGAAAGGCCUCGCGCGUGAAGGAGCGGCCGAUGUCCGAUUAGCUAGUUGGUAGAGGUAAAGGCUUACCAAGGCGACGAUCGGUAGCUGGUCUGAGGGGAUCGAUCAGCCACACUGGGACUGAG
rnacentral:rRNA from 1 species